AAGCUACUCCCUCCGUUCCAUAAUUCUUGUCGAAAUAUUACAUGUAUGUAGACGUUUUUUAGGAAUAGAUACAUCCAUUUUUUUUGCAAAUUUGAGACAAGAAUUAUGGAACGAAGGGAGUAAUAC
rfam:Brachypodium distachyon strain Bd21 chromosome 4, whole genome shotgun sequence.